rnacentral:lncRNA from 1 species
AAUUAGGUUCACCCCUAGGUGAACCUUUAAAUUCACCACAUCUUUUAGGACCAAUCAAAGUGACACAUAGAUUAUUAAUUAAAAAAUAUUAAAUUAAAUAAAAAAUAGCUACAAAAAAUAAAAACGAUAAUUUUAACGACGCCAACGCUUCCAGCUAAACCCUAAACCCUAAAUCUUAAAUUUUAAACCUUAUACCCUAAAUUCUAAACCUAAAUCCAAACCUCUAAACCCAAACCUAUACCCUAAACCCUAAUCCUAGACCUUAAACCCAAAUUAUAUACCCUAAACCCAAAAACUAGACUAUAAACCUAAACUCUAUACCCUAAACCCAAGUCGUAGACCCUAAACCCAAACCGUAAAUCUUACACUCAAAUUAUAUACCCUAAACCCAAAACCUUAACCAUAAGUCCAAACGGUAAAUCCUAAACCCAAACCGUAAAUCCUAAACCCAAAACCUAUACUCUAAACCCAAAUCCUAGACCUAAAACCCAAACGGUAAACCCUAAACC